AAAAGGCCAACGGGCAAAAACACACACAGGAACCGGGACAAAAGGCAGGCAGGAACUAGGAACAUCCAGGACAAUAGACAAUGACGCGACCAGUGACAAGAGACACACACGGCUUAAAUACGCUAGGGAGGUGCAGGUGAUUGGACACAGGUGGAAACAAUCAGACAAUCACAGGGGAUGACAGGACCAGGCAGGAAGUGAAGUUACCCAGCGAGACAAGAAGCAGAAACUACAAAAUAAGACAGGAAACAAGCUGCACCGUGACACUUACUUAGCAUGUUGCCAGACUGGCUGUCAGGCGUACUGCGUCUGGAUCCUGUUAAAUACAUAUUAUGCUGUACAUUUGUGUUGUUUAAUGUCUUCCUGCAGCAAACAAAUUGCCCUUCUGGAACAAAGAACGAACUGACUCAUCCACUCACUCAUCCAUUAUGGGCUUGAUAUGCAUUUCCAUACGAUUCACAUGGUGUCUCAGGUCUUCUGGAAUCCAGUGACGUCUCAUCAGCUGCAGAAUACUGCAGAAUUGUAGAAAGAUAUUUAGAAUCUUCUCCAUUUCUGAAUCAGUAAAUCUGACUGAUGCCGUGGUCUAUUUGAACACACACUUAUCCCAGCUGUGUACACCUGGAUUGAAUCAGCUCCCCUUCUCAUCCCGGCUCGGCAAAACGUGCAACCGAUUAAGCCGCCACGAGCAGAUCACACCAAGUCAAGCGGUGCCUUUUCAGUUAUCCUGGAUUUCUUUAUUCUACUUUUGUGCAAUAACCCUCUGAUGUAACGAAUUAGCCCACUGUAUACAGAUAAACUAUAGUAAUGACUAACAGGGUCCAGAAUGCACAGGUUAACAGGUUCUAUUACCCUGGAAAACACAACGUGAGGGAGGACGUGAGGCCGCUGGCCGGGUGACUGUGGUCCGUUGCUCCGCUCUCAGUCUGGACUCUCUCACGUUGCGUCGCCCUACAAGCGUAAUGAUCACAGCAUCACUGAGCCACUCAAACUCCUCCACCACGUUAAGGGGGUGAUUUACUGUUUUUGUGGGAAACCCAAGAAGGGAUGAAAUGCACGGCUGCAAAUUAAGAUAAAGGGGUUUCUGUAUUUGCGUAUACGUGUACCCUGAACCCGGUCAUGUCCAGGUAACCUACCACAGACAGUUUGACGAAUCAAGGGUUACAACGUGUGAACAUAGUGCGACAGUUUCAUUAAACCAUCACUGGAAAAUGGCUUCUCAGUUUCAUUUUUCAAGUUAUAUAGCGUGCAAGCUGCACAUGCUGUUUAUCUAAAGUAACGGUAACGCGAUUUCCUGUGCGUGCUCAUCGGGGUGUAACGCCGGCACAUUUUACCUCUUUCUGUGAUUCCCACACUAGCAAAGUCAUCCGGCGGGCUGAUGUUUGACACCUCUGGUCUGGAAGGAUUCUGAGGGUGGAGGAAAACAGUCGGAGUGGAGCUCUUUCCUUUUAAGUUUCCGGCGAACAUCAAAGAAGAGCAUGUGAAUAUUUAACAAGCAGAUUUGCAGAUUUUUUUAAUACAUUUUUGGUAUUUUUUCAUCCAUCUUAUCCGUCCCUGUGCUGCAUUUCGUGACACCCAAUUACAGAGACCUGAUCCGCGUACCCGUCCACUUAGCUUUCAUGACACAAACCGCGGUGUAAUUUGCGAGGAAUGCGAGCAUCCUUCACAAAAACGGUAAAUAAAUAAAAGCGAGACAACCCCUCGCCUGCCUGCGUGUACCACACAGGCGCUUAGUUUCAAAGUAGCGCCGGCGUGCACGGCCCGCAUGCCUUCGUACGCCGGCCUCCCUUUCUCCUCGGGCCCUGAGGUGAAUGUGGCCUUUGAGAGGCGAGGGAAAGCAAACACGUAGCCGCCAGCUCUCGCCUGGGAAAAGAACAUCCACACUGAGUGGGGCCGUCUGCAGAGCGACAGCCUGAGCAAACAGCCUGAGAGGGCUUCAUGAGGGGGGGGGGGGGGCUGCUGGCUGACUGAGGGGCUUCAGGAAGCCCGCCGGGGUCGUACCUUUAAAACAGGGAACGCUUUUUAUCUCAUCUAAUGCCCUCAGAGCGAGAGGCGGUCCAAGACGAUGUUUAGCGAGCACAGAACCGCUGUGUGGUGGUCAUGGUCGGGUUUUAAUAACAUUUCGAUUAAUCUCCAACCCUUUCAGAAGGUUUAUUAUUUUUUUUAAACGAUAUAAGUUUGAAUAACUCAAACUCAAAAAUGUAUUUAAGAGCUUUUAUCUGUUUUUUUUCCGAUGGAGAGGGAAGAAUCACAACUGCUUUUAUAAAUAGGGUUCACGUUUUUAACCCCAAAAUAUGAUUAUUUGAAUCACAUGACAUGCUGAUUUAACAUGUAUUUCAUCUUUCAUGUUUAUAUUAAACGUUGUAUUGAAUACAUCAUCUGUAAUUAAGAUGAUUUGUAUCAACGUUUCACUGGGAAAUUUAUCUGAAAGUGAGAUUCAGAUCAGUGAGAUCAUUUGGCUCUGUGAGCAGACUGAAGACCGUGGUCCACCUUCUGGUCUUAGUGACCACACUGGUAUGUGAUCCCACUAGUGAAACAAACAUUCACAAUCUCAGCGAUGUGGGGUUCAGUGUCUGGGGCACUUUGACAUGUGCACCGCGGCGAUGGAACCAGCCUUUUGAUUCCCGCCACACAAGUUUCCAUAGAUAAUGGUUCUAUCUGGACCCUGUUCCUUCCUCCUACCGUGGUCCUGGUGACACCUGCUGCUGCCAUCAUCCUCAUUAUUACUAUUACUGUCAUCAUAAACCAACAUGGCCCUUUCCUAAAGUCUUUGUGCUUUCCCUCCUACAGGCUUCUGUGGAUGGUGGUUCUAUCUGCUGGUGGUUCUAUCUGCUGGCGGUUCUAUCUGCUGGCGGUUCUAUCUGCUGGUGGUUUUAUCUGCUGGUGGUUAUAUCUGCUGGUGGUUCUAUCUUCUGGUGGUUCUAUCUGCUGGCGGUUCUAUCUGCUGGUGGUUCUAUCUGCUGGCGGUUCUAUCUGCUGGUGGUUCAAUCUGCUGCAGGUUCUAUCUGCUGGUGGUUCGAUCGCUGGACGUUCUAUCUGCUGCAAUUUCUAUCUGCUGGUGGUUCUAUCUGCUGGUGGUUCUAUCUGCUGGAGGUUCUAUCUGCUGCAGGUUCUAUUUGCUGGUGGUUCUAUCUGCUGCUGGUUCUAUCUGCUGCUGGUGGUCCCUGCAGUGGUCUGCUGUACACCUGCUUACUAUUCACAAUUAUCUGAAUCAUCUCUGUCAUAUGAAUUGAAUGUCAUGUUCAUCUUCUACAUUGUUUAUUCUGUACACAUGACGUCAUUGUAGUCUGUCCAUCAGGAGACAGAUCUUCCUCUGACCUUCUCGCUGAGGUUUCUUCCCCUUUUCUCUAUGAAAGGGUUUUCAUUUUUGGGGGGGGUUUCCUGUGCUGCUGUGAGGGUUUCGGGACCUCUGAGGCAAAUUUGCAAUUUUGAUCUACACAAAAUAUAAAAUAUAAAAUUGAAUGAAUUCCUCCAGGUUUGUGAUGACUUGGUUUGUAGAAACUACAACAACUUAUUUCUGACUGAAGGAACCUUUAGGUGAAUGUACACGCCCACAGGAAGUAGUUCAACACACCUUUUUUCAAACCAUCUAUCUGAAGAAUCUUUGCAGAUGGAUGAAGUUAAUAAAAGUAAAUAUUACCCCUCCUCAUUUUGCUUAACCAAAUCAAGAGGUUUAGAUGUGGAGCAACUGGCUUUGAGUGGUAUUAGAGUGGGCGGGGGGGGGGGGGGUUACUGGCUUGUUUAUCCAGCGUCCCCCAAGUCGUGACUACUGUUCACGCAGGCAGGAUCAGAGCCCGCCGAUCGGGGCUUUGAGUGUUUAGUCCGUGGAUUAGCCAUUGUGGCGGCCUAGCACCAUCACCCCCCACCCCUCACCACCCCCCCCCCCCCCCUCAUCGGCCACCCAGCCCUCUACACGAACUCCAUUGUGAGCACCCAGCACCCAGGGGGGUCACAGUCCAGUAUUCACUUGGAAUUAGAGAACGGGAUGGCUGAUCUGGGACCAAAUUCGCGUCUCAGUCAAUCAAAGGUGGGGACAGAAGCGCGGGAGGAGCCGUGUCUCCUGCUGAGUCGGGGACGUCUCCUCGACCAGGCGUCCGAUACCACAGCGCUCACACACCAAUGCACAAGGCGCCGUUUGGCGUCUGUACCAGAUGUACCAGUAUGACAACGGCCGUGUAGUCAAACAAACACAGAACUUUAAGCCAGGAGACCUUUGUGUCCCAACGCUGGAACUAAUUACAUUUUUUAUGUUCUUUUAUGCCCACGAGGUGAACCUGUACAUCGCACCCUCACACAGCACAUGAGCCGAUCUGCUGCCACAUAGCCGCAGUGCCGAGGCGACGGGCCGCCGGAGCACCGAGGGGCCGACAGAUGGUCGACCCAGGAGAGACGUCUUUCACCAGGCGGCAGCGCCAGGAGCCGCCAACAAAGAAGAUCUCCAAUCAGAGGCCCCCCCCCGGGGGGGGGAACAAUGGGCCAAGUGCAGGGUGAGUCAUUCCUCAUUCACCCGGCAGCUGGCCGGGAACCAACAGGUCGGCAUGCUCGGCCUCCACAUGGACCCCGGGGGGGGGGAACCUCGCCACGACGAGGCCCGGGACGGACAACUUGUCGGCAGACGAUCAAACUGGCGAGACCAAUCAGCGGCGGUGGAAUCGCGGACCUCUUUGAUGGCUCUCGGUUUUGUUGGAGCACCUGUUUGACACCGUCUCACUUUGAUCUCCCCGUCUCCCUCUCGGAGGGGUUGGGAGGGGGGAGGGAGUGGGAAGGGGGGGCUUCUUCUAACAAUAAGCAGGUUUAUCUCACUUCAGAUGUGUUGAGGAAUUUGCACAUGACAGUGAUGUCCGGCUUGAAUGUAAAGAAUUCCAAAAGCAGAAACCUAUUUGCGUGUUACCCCAACACGGACAUAUGAGGCACAUUCGGUAAAUAUCCAAUCGAAUCCAUUCAAACGCGUGUUGAAUAAGAGUGGAACGUGUAAUUCAUUCGGAUCGUUAGCGUUAUCUCUCUGAGCUGAGUGUGGAACAGGCGAAGGGUUCGCUUCAGCUUUGCGCUCGCACAAAUAUGCCAACAUUUACACGUCCCAGAUACCGGUGGAAAGAACCGCCCCGGGUGCCGUUAAAGGGACUGUUAAGUGCUUUACGCUGCGCAGUAAGAUGUGCUUUAACUGCCUCGCCGUCUGAUGACAUUUCUAUCUAGACAGAGCAGCCGGACUGAGCCCCGUUAAAGAUAAUGGCACUCCACAAACACAAAAAGCCCAGACAGGCCAACGCCAGUAAAGAUCUAGCAAAUUAUACCAGGGGAAAAAAGAAGUCGCUUUGUUAUUUGGGCUGAAGAAGAGGACUCGGGACAUGUGGAACGCCGCAGCAGCCACGCAGGCCGCGCGCCUGGUGAAAAAGUGUCCUGGCAACGCUCCGGUCCGCUCAGCCUCCGUCACACAGCCUGUCCUGUGGCAGACGGCCAUCACGACACAUCUGGAUGGUUCAUUUCCACCAAAAUACAGUGUGGUGAAAGUCAGCAGAAUGUGGAGGUGAAGCCGGCAUCACGUGUGCUGAACGUUGGACAGGAGUGUGUACUUUAUCUCAACGAUCUCAUAUGAGUUCUUUUGUCACCAAAAGUCCAACUCGGCUCUGCCAAUGACGUUCACGCCGGAGGAUCAAGCCGCAUGAUUAACAUGCAACACGGGAAGAAGUGUGUCCGGUGCCAAAAGGCGAGAGAGCAAUUUUUUUGUUUUUUUUAGAGGCGUGUAACCUGAUAUCUGCAUAUCACGCCAGACAUGUACACUUCCUAAGAAGCAGGUCUUCCUGAGACACAGCGAGCUAACCGUACACUCAGUCUACGAUGCUCACUGAGGUGAGAAGUCGUUUUCUCACGCAAACAGACUUCUUUUUGCAGCCAUAGGAGUUGCGCCCCGAUGGGAAUCAGAGAGAAUCCAUGUCCAAAGUCAACUUUCCACACCCAUCAACCAAAAUAUCGGAACAAAUACCUUUAUGUGUCUUUCUGCUGAGGUAUUUCAUCCUGGACCAAAGUGGUGGAGAAGCUUUCACGAGCUCGUCCAACAUCAAUCUCUGUCUAAAAACGGCAGCCUUAGCGUGGAGUCAAUUAAACCCAACCAACGCCUCUUUCUGUGCUUGUUUACGCCAUCCAGCCACCACUAGAAAUAGUCUCAAUCUAUGGAAGACUGCACGAGCGAUGCAGUGGCUCCAUGCCAGAUAACAGAGGUCCUGCUGGGACGCUGAUGCACGGUUCGGCUCCCAGGUUGUGUGUAUCACAGUGAGACCGCGAUGCAUCAGUCAGCGCAGACACAAUCGAGGAUAAGAGUGUGAUCAGGGUUAGAAGUGAGACAGCAGUGCGACGUGAUGGAUGGUGAAGAACGCUGAAGAACGCCGAACGGUUUGAGAUCCUCUGGACAAAUAAACGUUCGACACACUCACAGCCCGCCAGUGGACCCGUGUCUCCGUGUGUCUCACCAGGACCCAAAUCCCCGGGCACUGCCUCUGCCAAGCAGUGUAAAUAUUUAGGGUCACCCGUCGCACAGUGGAAAAAUAGAGCUGCGACUUCGACUGCGUUCCGCAAACACGACCUGGUCUGUGUGGACAGAAGCCAGCGGCGCAUACCUGCGAGUGUUUGUGUGAAAGGCUUUUUACUUCUAUUUUACUUUUCAGGGCGACUUUGACAGGAGGCAGUAAAGCGGUAUCGGCGCGAUGAGGGCGCCGUGCCAUUCGGGGGGAGCACAUUAAUCACGGCUGGAGAAAAGGCUCAACGUAAACAGCGGCCCUCCUCCGACGGAGCCGCCGCACCGCGAGGCCCACAGAACCUCUUUCCUCUUAUGGUCUUUGGCUUUUUCUUUUCCUAUAUAUAUAUAUAUAUAUAUAUAUAUAGAACCUAGAGAGAACAACCAAGUAUUUACCCUUUCCCCUCAGAAUUCUCUCCUUGUCAAGUUAAAUUAACAUUUGGACCAUCAUGCAACAGUGAAAGCCACACUGCACGAAGUACUUGCACCGUAUUAAUGCAAAAGAUCACGUCUCCCUGUUCGGCUGUUUGGAUCCUUUGAGGAGAGAGUACACAGGCAUCAUUGUUUUAGGUUUUUACUCAUUUUCACCAGUAAAUCCAGAAGUAGCUGUAUAGAUAUUAGAUAAAUAUCUCAUGUUUGUCCCCACGGACUCAAAUGUGCAUUUUCUCAAUCUAAAUCUCAACCGUAUUUAACAUUAAAUUAUACAUUACAAUUUUGACCUUUUAAGGAUAUUAAAUUAAAAUGUGAAAAUCCUUGUGGAUUAAGUUUAACUCUCCAUAAACAUCGAUGAUGCAAAACACACAGACGAUGAACACGCAGACAAAUGCGCACAUGUAGUUUGCUGGCAUUUAACCUUGUAGAUAAAUCCCACAUAUACGAGCCACAUAAUCCGAUUUACCUCGAGCGGGCUGAGCUGACGGUGAAGGCAUGAAACGAUUGGGUAAAAAUGCAACGCGAGGCAGAAGGAGCAGACGGGUGUGAUAGAUUAGUGCACGUUACACAGAAUCCUGUGUGUGGGUUUGUAAAUCAGGAAAUCAGAGGCGACUUUCAGAAGAAAAAGAAAUUGUUGGGGAUCUGCUACACUAGAAGCAUUGACAGGCACGUUGAAAAGAGCCUCAGAGCCUGAAGGAAAACUACCCGGACACGAGGGGAUUGAUUCAACUUUUGUGCGUGUGGCCUCUGGUGGACACUCGGCCGCCGAAAAAACGCCUAUAAGACUCAUUCAGAGGUAGAAAAUACAGCUUUGACCCCACAAGGAGACACGGGCGCCCGGACCCCAACAACUCGUAACGCUAUCAUCACUCUGCGCUUUGACCAGAGGGAGGAAAAGGUUCCCGUCCCGCGUUUCGAGACGUAUUAAACUGCAUGAAUAACGUAUUGAGUAAAUAACGGUGUUUGCGGCCGCACGACUGCCCCUGAAUGGCUCUUAUUCAGUGGGUCCACUGACAGGCUCCCUUGUGCUCUCCUGCACUCACCCCGCCGCGACCUGCGCUGGUCCUACACGGAGGUGGAACUCGCCCAGGUACAAUCACGGUGGCUUUGUGUGUCUUCAGCUAUUUAUCCUCAAAGACUGCAGCUUCGACCAAAUACCCGGUGAAGAAAGUGGAGCAUUUAGCAGAGCCAGAGCUUUUUAAUGGUGGAGACCGAACCAGUAAAUGUUGUUCCUACUUAUUUACCCGGCGGAUGCAAAUCCUAGAGGCCUAAAAACGAAUGCUAAUGUUCCUUCACACCGUCCAAAAUAAUAAAGGCGAGGAAACGGUUUAGGUGGAGGCGGUGAGGAGUCAGCGGGUCCGAUCCAAGAGAAAUAGAAGCCACACAAUCGGACUCUUGGCUUGAAAAAGGACAAAUGUGUCCCAGAAUACAAAUACAUUUAACGCAAUGCUCACAUGAGUGAAUAAAUAUGUUAAUGAUAAAUAGUCCUCGUGUCGGCAGACAGAAUAUCUACAUUCACAUUAUCACUGUCAUAUUACAGCCCUUUCCUUUUCUCUCAUAAGACCUGAAAGGCAUAAAAAUCUAAAUCCUUCGUCUUUUCAAACACCCAAAGUUGUCCGUCACUCUUUCGCCUGACGAGGAGAAAAGUGGAAUCAGACUGGACGGAGAUGCUGAGAUGCGUUUCUCAUUACUGUGAGACGAGUCGGUUGUGAUUUAAGUCGUCCUGCAUCAUUUCCUACCAAUAGGAGAGGAGAUCCUGCAGCGGAGUCUUCGUCAGACGCCUUUGAAGUGUGAGUCAAAGAAGACAAAGGAGAGCGUUUUGACAUCAACAGAUGUGGUAAAACAACUACGUAAAAGGUUCUGUCUCCAUUUGUAUGAGACAGUGAUGUCUUUUUCAUCGUCAUGCUGUUUUAUCAGCACGGGGAUGAAACCAUGACUGCAGGUCUUAAACGCAGCAGAACCUGCGUCGUCUCUCCUCUUCUGAUACAACGACGGGUUUUCUUGGCCGGCUCACCUGGUGUCGAAAACCUAAUCAGCUCUUUCUUUCCAGAAGAGGUUGAUGAGUCCAAGAUGAAAAGCAAUCGGAUCAAUUUGAAAACGGGAAUAGUGGUUGGAACUAUUAGCCCACAACACAGAGCUGAUCUCAACCCCAGAUCUUCAGAGUUCCACCAGCUGGGGAUGCUUAUUGGUUCUUUUGGAGAUAAAUGGAUGAGAUAUGUGGUGUGGGACAGUUUAAAGGGAAGCAUACAAGCCAUAAAGACAUGCAUGAUCAUGGAUAUAACUGUGAGAGUGUGAAUAGAUGAUAGAAAUAGUGAACUGCGCGAUCACUGGAUUCAAACAUCCGACAGUCAGUGGUGCUCGCAAUAAAAACCGGGUGAACUCAUAAGAGCAAACAGACGCUCUUCUCCAGAUUUGAAUUUCAAUUGGGUCCCCCGCCUGCUUAACAAGAGGAGGACAAUAUUAAUCAUAAGAAUGUGCUUCAGCACGAAGCUUUAAUCAUGGACAAAGCGUGAAUCAGAUUAAUUCACCUGAACUAAACGCAACGUAUCUUUAAUAAAUCAAGAGAAGCUGUCAGAAGAAAAAGUAAAAAGCAUCAACUUGAGCAGCAUCGAUUAACAAUAAUUCUGCUGGUUGUCGUCAUUCAGGUCACAGGGGGGGGUCCUGGAAUACGGAGCUUUGAGCGGGGACGGAAAGGCUUCCCCUCUAAUGAGUUAUUUCCUCUGCUUCCCUGCUCGGCUUCCUGAUGUGUGCAGAUGCUGCUGCGGCAGCGGCCUCCGAGGGACUAAAGUCGGCGACGCUCUUCUGCUCUUCCGACAGUUUGACUCUCUGGAAACACGCUGUGUAAUUUUCCCGAAGCCAGUCGAGUCUCCAUUUCUUUUCCAACCACUAACUCAUUACAGUUGAUGCAUCAGGACAAAGGAAUGCCGGAGCCCGCGAGUCGAGUUCAGAGGAGGAGGAGGAGGAGGCUGACGGAGGGAUGGAUGGAUGGAUGG
ensembl:lncRNA